CCUACGGGAGGCAGCAGUGAGGAAUAUUGGUCAAUGGACGAGAGUCUGAACCAGCCAAGUAGCGUGAAGGAUGACUGCCCUAUGGGUUGUAAACUUCUUUUAUAUGGGAAUAAAAUGUUCCACGUGUGGGAUUUUGUAUGUACCAUAUGAAUAAGGAUCGGCUAACUCCGUGCCAGCAGCCGCGGUAAUACGGAGGAUCCGAGCGUUAUCCGGAUUUAUUGGGUGUAAAGGGACCGUAGGUGGAUUGUUAAGUCAGUUGUGAAAGUUUGCGGCUCAACCGUAAAAUUGCAGUUGAAACUGGCAGUCUGGAGUACAGUAGAGGUGGGCGGAAUUCGUGGUGGAGCGGUGAAAUGCUUAGAUAUCACGAAGAACGCCGAGUGCGAAGGCAGCUCACUGGACUGCAACUGACACUGAGGCUCGAAAGUGGGGGUAGCAAACAGGAUUAGAUACCCCAGUAGGC
rnacentral:rRNA from 1 species